AGGACUAUACUUUCAGGGAUCAUUUUUAUAGUGUGUUACUAGAGAAGUUUCUCUGAUUGUGUAGAGCACCGAAAACCACGAGGAGGAGUUACAGUGUUUUCUUCUGAGCGUGAAAUUAGCUUUUGGUGUUGCUUUCUGCAAUUGCCGUUUGCUAUUGAUGAUCGUUCUACUUUUCCAGUUGGGGAAAGUUAGAGGAAGAAAAUGCAGUCUGAGUGGU